GGCAGUUCUUGGGUGACACUCUCCAAAAUUGGGCUCCCUCCUCUCUGGUUCCAGGUGCAUCAGCCAAGAAUUGCA
rfam:Myotis lucifugus cont2.10537, whole genome shotgun sequence.